GCCUGGCAAAGCUGUGUCCAAGGAGGCAAAGAUUGGUCCGCAGCUCAGAGGAGAAGCCUGAGUGGAAACUAUAAAUCUGAGUCAUUUUGAAGCCUUGGGAAUGGAUCUGUACUCAAAGAAGGCUUCCUUAUGAUGGAAACCUGGUCUGGGUUGCUCACCACUGAACCUCCUCACACCUGGAGCCGUGCCUAGCACAAGGAGCUUACGUAUCCUCAGAAGAGAAGAAACAGAGACGAUUGCUGUCUUCAUUUUAGAGACAAAGAACCCGAGGCGUAGAGAGCCAGGAAAUGGAGGUAAUGACUUCUGCCCUGGAGGACUACAUGGCAUCUUCUAUGUUGAAACCACUUUCAAAGUUUUCAAAACUAUACACCCAUCAUGUAUCACUAAUAUAGCUCGAUAUACUACGGAUCACAGUCCUGACUUCAACUGUUAGUGUAAUGUCUCAUCAACACUGAGAACACGUUAUGUGGUGUUUUACUGUCAUGAACGAAACCUAUUUCCCCAGAAAAACUGGCAGAUAUUAGCAUUAAUCUGAUUUUUCAAAGAAGUUAAUUAUUUCCCAGAAUAAGUCACUGUGACUUAUCAAAGGGCCUUGGUUGGUGGGAAGUAAAGCCCAGACUGCAUUCUUGAAGCUGCUAGCCUUUGCCAGCUCAUUGCAAAUUGAGCAACACUGAUGAACCCACAGUUAAUCUAUGGAGUCAAAUGCAACUGGACACAAAUGCCUGGGGAUUUUCCCUGUGAGAUUCUCUUGCCCUUCUGGUGAUGGUGAAGGACAGCACUACCCAUGGCAGGGGCGGUCACUAGUCUCUGGCAUUUACUUGACCUUAUGGCUGCCAUGAACACCAGGCACAGCCUUUGCAGGAGGCACUGCUGCCUUCAGCCUGCCUGGCCUGGGGGCGCAGAGAGGAAAGGGAUAUGGGCUUUUGCAAAAGGCCCCUAGAGCAAAGUCAGACUGAUGGCAAAGGCUUGAGUGCUCGAUGGGCGAGGGAGAUGCUUUCGCUUCAAUUUUCACUGAGUAAUGAGGCGUACUGAGCAAAAUACACUUGUCCUUGGAAUGUGAGGCACACACGUGGCAGGCAUAAAGUUAUAAAAAGGAGGAGCUCCUUAGUCUGCUGAACUUAAAGACUUAUCUUGCCUUCCUGCUGUUAAUUCUUUACAGAGACUUCCUCUUCUCCAUUUCCCAGGGUUCUCCAUGGGGAUGUGCUUGAGGGAGAAUGAGCAGUUUAAGAGAAAAGAAUUCCUCCAGAGUGGGUUGUGGAGAGCACUGGAGAAGGUCUGGGCUGGAGCUAGAGAUUUACCUUGGCUAAAGAUAAGAGUCUGUGGUGUAUAUACACAAUGGAAUACCAUUCAGCCUUGAAAAAGAAGGAAAUAUGUCAUCAGUGGCAACAUGGAUGAACCUAGAAGACAUGCUAAGUGAAAUAAGCCAGGGUUCCUGUUGCAUUUUUGGAGUGGAGCCUUGGAGGUCCUUAUUACCCUUUCCACAACUGCUUCUAGCAGACAACAGCUUUUAAAUGGUGUUUGUUGAAGUCCUAGGAAGUCUGCAGAAUGUUUUCAAAGGGCAUUUAUUAUAGGAGGCCAAAUGACGGCAGGUGAGACUCCAGGUUCUCACCCAAAAAGUUUAACCUGAAGCAAAAUCCAUUUUUAUGUGUUUAAUGCAUUGAGC
rnacentral:lncRNA from 1 species